GAAACUGAAGGUAUAAAAGUGGGACCUGGGGUUGGUGCUCUAACAGUCGACCCGGUCAGAAGCUUAGUAUUCAUCAGGAUUUAUACAAUUGAAUUAAAUUGGAGGGUCUGAGUCUACACCUGUACAAGAACCUCCUCAAGUCUCCAGUAUUGUUUAUCCGGAUUCAUUAAAUUGAAUAAAAUGGGAGCGUUCUUUUCCAAACAGGAGCCUUCUCCUCCUCCGU